rnacentral:rRNA from 1 species
GGUGAACGCUGGCGGCGUGCUUAAGACAUGCAAGUCGAACGGCAGUCUUCGGACUGUAGUGGCGCACGGGUGAGUAACGCGUAACUGACCUACCCCAAAGUCGCGGAUAACGAUUCGAAAGAAUCGCUAAUACGUGAUGUGCUGUCAGAUUGUGUUCUGCCAGUAAAGAUUGAUUGCUUUGGGAUGGGGUUGCGUUCCAUCAGCUAGUUGGUGGGGUAAAGGCCCACCAAGGCGACGACGGAUAGCCGGCCUGAGAGGGUGGCCGGCCACAGGGGCACUGAGACACGGGUCCCACUCCUACGGGAGGCAGCAGUUAGGAAUCUUCCACAAUGGGCGAAAGCCUGAUGGAGCGACGCCGCGUGAGGGAUGAAGGUCUUCGGAUCGUAAACCUCUGAAUCAGGGACGAAAGACACUUCGGUGGGAUGACGGUACCUGAGUAAUAGCACCGGCUAACUCCGUGCCAGCAGCAGCCGCGGUAA